rnacentral:rRNA from 1 species
UGCUCCCGGAUGUUAGCGGCGGACGGGUGAGUAACACGUGGGUAACCUGCCUGUAAGACUGGGAUAACUCCGGGAAACCGGAGCUAAUACCGGAUAGUUCCUUGAACCGCAUGGUUCAAGGAUGAAAGACGGUUUCGGCUGUCACUUACAGAUGGACCCGCGGCGCAUUAGCUAGUUGGUGAGGUAACGGCUCACCAAGGCGACGAUGCGUAGCCGACCUGAGAGGGUGAUCGGCCACACUGGGACUGAGACACGGCCCAGACUCCUACGGGAGGCAGCAGUAGGGAAUCUUCCGCAAUGGACGAAAGUCUGACGGAGCAACGCCGCGUGAGUGAUGAAGGUUUUCGGAUCGUAAAGCUCUGUUGUUAGGGAAGAACAAGUGCAAGAGUAACUGCUUGCACCUUGACGGUACCUAACCAGAAAGCCACGGCUAACUACGUGCCAGCAGCCGCGGUAAUACGUAGGUGGCAAGCGUUGUCCGGAAUUAUUGGGCGUAAAGGGCUCGCAGGCGGUUUCUUAAGUCUGAUGUGAAAGCCCCCGGCUCAACCGGGGAGGGUCAUUGGAAACUGGGAAACUUGAGUGCAGAAGAGGAGAGUGGAAUUCCACGUGUAGCGGUGAAA